rnacentral:rRNA from 1 species
GACGAACGCUGGCGGCGUGCUUAACACAUGCAAGUCGAACGGAAAGGCCCUGCUUGCAGGGUACUCGAGUGGCGAACGGGUGAGUAACACGUGGGUGAUCUGCCCUGCACUUCGGGAUAAGCCUGGGAAACUGGGUCUAAUACCGGAUAGGAGCCAUUUUUAGUGUGAUGGUUGGAAAGUUUUUUCGGUGUAGGAUGAGCUCGCGGCCUAUCAGCUUGGUGGUGGGGUAAUGGCCUACCAAGGCGGCGACGGGUAGCCGGCCUGAGAGGGUGGACGGCCACAUUGGGACUGAGAUACGGCCCAGACUCCUACGGGGGGCAGCAGUGGGGAAUAUUGCACAAUGGGCGCAAGCCUGAUGCAGCGACGCCGCGGGGGGGAUGACGGCCUUCGGGUUGGAAACUCCUUUCGCUAGGGACGAAGCUUUUUGUGACGGUACCUAGAGAAGAAGCACCGGCUAACUACGUG